GACGAACGCUGGCGGCGUGCCUAAUACAUGCAAGUCGAGCGAAUCAAUAGGAGCUUGCUCCUGUUGAUUAGCGGCGGACGGGUGAGUAACACGUGGGCAACCUGCCUGUAAGAUCGGGAUAACUUCGGGAAACCGGAGCUAAUACCGGAUAAUCCUUUUCCACAUAUGUGGGAAAGCUGACAGACGAUUUCGGCUGUCACUUACAGAUGCGCCAGCGGCGCAUAAGCUAGUUGGUGAGGUAACGGCUCACCAAGGCGACGAUGCGUAGCCGACCUGAGAGGGUGAUCGGCCACACUGGGACUGAGACACGGCCCAGACUCCUACGGGAGGCAGCAGUAGGGAAUCUUCCGCAAUGGACGAAAGUCUGACGGAGCAACGCCGCGUGAGCGAUGAAGGCCUUCGGGUCGUAAAGCUCUGUUGUUAGGGAAGAACAAGUAUCGGAGUAACUGCCGGUACCUUGACGGUACCUAACCAGAAAGCCACGGCUAACUACGUGCCAGCCGCCGCGGUAA
rnacentral:rRNA from 1 species